rnacentral:rRNA from 1 species
GGGUUGUGAGGUUAAGCGACUAAGCGUACACGGUGGAUGCCCUGGCAGUCAGAGGCGAUGAAGGACGUGCUAAUCUGCGAAAAGCGUCGGUAAGGUGAUAUGAACCGUUAUAACCGGCGAUGUCCGAAUGGGGAAACCCAGUGCAAUUCGUUGCACUAUCGUUAACUGAAUACAUAGGUUAACGAGGCGAACCGGGGGAACUGAAACAUCUAAGUACCCCGAGGAAAAGAAAUCAACCGAGAUUCCCCCAGUAGCGGCGAGCGAACGGGGAGCAGCCCAGAGUCUGAAUCAGCUUGUGUGUUAGUGGAACGGUCUGGAAAGUCCGACGGUACAGGGUGAUAGUCCCGUACACCAAAAUGCACAGGUUGUGAACUCGAAGAGUAGGGCGGGACACGUGGUAUCCUGUCUGAAUAUGGGGGGACCAUCCUCCAAGGCUAAAUACUCCUGACUGACCGAUAGUGAACCAGUACCGUGAGGGAAAGGCGAAAAGAACCCCGGCGAGGGGAGUGAAAAAGAACCUGAAACCGUGUACGUACAAGCAGUGGGAGCACCUUCGGGUGUGACUGCGUACCUUUUGUAUAAUGGGUCAGCGACUUAUAUUCUGUAGCAAGGUUAACCGUAUAGGGG